rnacentral:rRNA from 1 species
CGAUCCUGAAAUUUAUGGAUGGAUUUGAGUAUGAGCUUUGUGGGUCGGACCCGAAAGAUGGUGAUCUAUGCGUGGAUAGGGUGAAGCCAGAGGAAACUCUGGUGGAGGCUCGCAGCGGUUCUGACGUGCAAAUCGAUCGUCAAAUAUGGGCAUGGGGGCGAAAGACUAAUCGAACCUUCUAGUAGCUGGUUUCCGCCGAAGUUUCCCUCAGGAUAGCUGGAGCUCGCGGGCGAGUUCUAUCGGGUAAAGCCAAUGAUUAGAGGCAUCGGGGGCGCAACGCCCUCGACCUAUUCUCAAACUUUAAAUAGGUAGGACGGCGUGGCUGCUUUGUUGAGCCGCGCCAUGGAAUCGAGAGCUCCAAGUGGGCCAUUUUUGGUAAGCAGAACUGGCGAUGCGGGAUGAACCGGAAGCCGGGUUACGGUGCCCAACUGCGCGCUAACCUAGAUCCCACAAAGGGUGUUGGUCGAUUAAGACAGCAGGACGGUGGUCAUGGAAGUCGGAAUCCGCUAAGGAGUGUGUAACAACUCACCUGCCGAAUCAACUAGCCCUGAAAAUGGAUGGCGCUCAAGCGUCUCACCCAUACCUCGCCCUCAGGGUAGAAACGAUGCCCUGAGGAGUAGGCGGACGUGGAGGUCAGUGACGAAGCCU